GGGGAUUUAGCUCAGUGGUAGAGCGCUUGCCUAGGAAGCGCAAGGCCCUGGGUUCGAUCCCCAGCGCCG
rnacentral:tRNA from 1 species